GUCCACGCCGUAAACGAUGAGUGCUAGAUGUCGGGGGGUUGCCCUUCGGUGUCGCAGCUAACGCGUUAAGCACUCCGCCUGGGGAGUACGGCCGCAAGGCUAAAACUCAAAGAAAUUGACGGGGGCCCGCACAAGCGGUGGAGCAUGUGGUUUAAUUCGAAGCAACGCGCAGAACCUUACCGGCCCUUGACAUGGGAAGUUUGGUUACCGGAGACGGUUUCCUUCAGUUCGGCUGGCUUCCAC
rnacentral:rRNA from 1 species